GGUCCUCAUUGGAUGCUUGCCUUGGAGAAUUUUGCUUUGGCGAGACCGUGAGAGAUAUAUUGCUCAUUUUGGAGGUUUCGAAGAAGAUUAGCAGUACGGCUUACAUGUCGACUCAAAAACUGUGGUUAUAGUGCUGUCUUAAGUUUAGAAAAUGUUUCAGAAGCGCAGGAAAUGUUUUGGGACUUGGAAUAUGUUUUUUAGUGCAGUCUUGACUUAUAUGAGUAGUAUUUGUUCUACUCAAACUUAUGAAACUAUUUGUACUAUGAUGUUGCACCUAUUUAUGACAUUUGAAUAUUUAAUAUGUUAUUCUGGCAUAUUCUAUUGUAACGGGUGCCGACGUUUGUUAUUUAUUAAACAUUGCUGAUGUUUUCA